UCGGCCACUGCUCGCGGUUCCCUGACCCAGACCCCACCCGUAGAUCAUCUCUCUCCUUCUCUUACUUACUUAGAGAAAGAUUCUUUGUUCUCUCUCUCUCUCUCUUCUCUCUUUCCCACUGGUAUCGCAUCAAAGCCUUACCUUCCUCCUCCUCGCCUUCUGUCCAUCAAGAGCUCCAGAAUUUGCAGAAAAGAAGGCAAAGAUGGAGAGCCGCCUUCACCUCGGCUUUCACUUCAAGCCUACUGAUCAAGAGAUACUGGUCUGCCUCUUUUGUCGUGCUAAUAGUCUGCCUUCUCCCGGGGAAUUCCUCAUAGAAGAAGACCUCAGGUGUUUUCGGAUUGAUCGACCUCCAGAUAAAUAAGAUUGCUAGGAGCAGGGAGCUCGAUGUACUUCAUGGGUUAGGAAAAAUUGUAAUUUCAAAAUGUUCAAAUUUGUAGAGCUCGUAUUGAAAACAUUCUAUGAAUGAAAUGACAUUUUGUAUAAAUUGCUAA